UGAGUAAGAUAAAUGGCCGCAGCUGCAGGCGCCGAAAGGCCGCAGGUGAGGAAAGUCCGGGCUUCACAGGGCAGGAUGCCAGAUAACGUCUGGUGGAGGCGACUCCAAGGACAGUGCAACAGAAAUAUACCGCCGCAGGCGGCGCGGGCGGCCUUCUGGCCAUACGCGCAGCCUGCGGUAAGGGUGGAAGGGCAGUGUAAGAGACUACCGCCCGGCUGGCAACAGCCGGGGCACAUGUAAACCCCAUCCGAAGCAAGGCCGAACAGGGGGCGUAAGGCGGCCCGUCUGCUCCCGGGUAGGCCGCUGGAGCCGGCCGGCGACGGCCGGCCUGGAUAGAUGGCCAUUCACGACAUAACCCGGCUUAUCGUUUUGCUCAGGCA
rnacentral:RNase_P_RNA from 1 species